GCAUUUAUUUUUAUAACAUGCAUAUUAUAUAGAUAUGAGAAAUGCAUGAGAUAUAUAUGGUAUUAGUGCUAAUGUUAAAUAGAAGAAUAUUAUAAAUGUUACAAUUAUACCAUAAUAAGAAUUAGAAAGUUAAGGGAUUGAGUUGAUUAAUGGCAAAAAAAUUAAGGGGUUAAUUGAACCUAAAAAAAAAAUAUUAUUAAUAUGAUAGAAAAGGGGAAGAAGAAAGAAAAGGUGGUAGUUCUUCUUCCUUCUUCUUCCUUCUUCUUUCUUUCUUUCUUUCUUCUUCUUCUUCUUCUUCUUCAAAAAAGAGAAAAAUGAAUUUUCAAGUGGAAUUUGGAGGUUUAGAAUCCAUUUUUGAUCUUAAUCUUCAUCUACAAAGGCUUUAGAGGUUUAUUUGCUAAACGAAUUUGGAAUGAGGGUGACACCCAAGUAAGCUCAAGCAAAGGGAAGGGAGCAACAAAGGAUUAGAAGAAUUAUAAUUGGUUUUGACGAAACAUUUGCAUCUGUCGCACUAGCAUUGUGUCAGGUAGGUCAGCAGGAGGUCGCCCUUUUUCUUUCUUGGACGUGGCAUGUCAAGUGGAUUUCAUUAUCAUGUAUAAAUCUGGAGCAUUUUAUGUGUAUAUAAAAAAAAAGUGUACUAUUGAUGUUGUGAGCUUUUUGGUGUGUGAUAUAUAUGACUCAUACAAAUAGUUUUUGUUAUACAUAAUAAUUUGUGAGUUAAAAAUUA